rnacentral:lncRNA from 1 species
AUGAUCAUCAUCACUAUAAUCACUAUCAUCAUUACUGUCAUCAUACUAUCAUCACCAUCACCACCGUCAUCACCAUCACCAUCAUCAUCAUUACCGUCAUCAUUACUCUUAUUACCAUCAUCCCAUCAUUACCAUCACUGUCAUCACACUCACUAUCAUCACCACCACCAUCAUCACCAUUGCCAUCAUCAUCACCAUCACCAUCAUUAUCACCAUCACCAUCAUCACACUCACUAUCAUCACCACCACCACCAUCAUCAUCAUUGCCAUCAUCAUCACCGUCUCCAUCAUUAUCACCAUCACCGUCAUCACACUCACUAUCAUCACCACCACCACCAUCAUCACCAUUGCCAUCAUCAUCACCGUCUCCAUCAUUAUCACCAUCACCGUCAUCACACUCACUAUCAUCACCACCACCACCAUCAUCACCAUUGCCAUCAUCAUCACCGUCUCCAUCAUUAUCACCAUCACCGUCAUCACACUCACUAUCAUCACCACCACCAUCAUCAUCACCAUUGCCAUCAUCAUCACCGUCUCCAUCAUUAUCACCAUCACCGUCAUCACACUCACUAUCAUCACCACCACCAUCAUCACCAUUGCCAUCAUCAUCACCGUCUCCAUUAUCAUCACCAUCACCAUCAUUAUCACCAUCACCGUCAUCACUAUCAUCACCACCACCAUCACCAUUGCCAUCAUCAUCACCAUCACCAUCAUCACCAACACCGUCAUCACACUCACCAUUAUCACCACCACCACCAUCAUCACCAUUGCCAUCAUCAUCACCAUUGCCAUCAUCAUCACCAUCUCCAUCAUUAUCACCAUCACCAUCAUCACACUCACCAUCAUCACCACUACCACCAUCAUCACCAUUGCCAUCAUCAUCACCGUCUCCAUCAUUAUCACCAUCACCGUCAUCACACUCACUAUCAUCACCACCACCACCAUCACCAUUGCCAUCAUCAUCACCAUCUCCAUCAUUACUAUUAUUAUUAUCAUCAUCACAUCAUCAGUAUAAUCACUAAUAUGAUCACCAUCAUCACUACCAUAAUCCCAUCAUUACCAUCAUUACCACUAUCACCAUCACCAUCAUUCUCACCAUCACCAUCACCAUAUUAUCACCAUCACCAUCAUCACCAUCACCAUCAUUAUCACCAUCACUGUCAUCACCAUCACCAUCACCAUCAUCACCAUCACCAUCACCAUCAUUAUCACCAUUACCAUCACCAUCACCAUCAUUAUCACCAUCACUGUCAUCAUCACCAUCACCAUCAUUAUCAUCAUCAUCACCACUACCAUCAUGAUCAUCACCAUCAUUAUCAGCACCACCACCAUCAUUACCAUCACCAUUAUCACCAUCAUCACCACCAACAUCAUCAUCUCCAUGAACAUCGCCAUCACCAUCAUCAUCACUACUACUACCUUACCAUCAAUGUAAGGUACCUACUGCCUUACCUAGCACCAUCAAUGUUGCCAUAA